CGAAGGGCAGAAAAGCCCCUUGCCCUUCCAAGGCCCUGCCCUGAAUGUCCAAGCACCCAGCUUGCUUCUAAUUCAACACUUGACAAGUUGGUGCGGGACACUCGCUGCGUCAGGCAGGGGGAGCCGGGGGCAGGGGUGCAGAGGGACGAGGCAGCGUGGCCCUUACCCCUUGGAGGGGGACAGAUAAGUACAAGGGCAGCUGGGACACUGCAGGAAAACACAGAAUAUGUACCCCAAACUAUACAGCCGCAGAAGUGGAGACCAGGGACUCACGGCCAGGGACUCCCAGGCUCCCUGGGGAGGGGGGCACACGGAGAUGGCUGAGACAGCCCCCCUCCCUCCAGGCCCGCCCUCUGCUCCUACCGGGAACAGGAUGCUCCCGGAGCCCACCUGCACUACGGGAGGGUGGAGGCCCGCAGCCCUGAGGGCGGCUACAGGCAGGUGUAAUUUCAUCGGGAGCCUUCACUGCAAGUCACCAGAAUCGGAGGAUGAAAUUCCAGCUCUGCGGACAGAAAGGGGCUGGGCUUUGUGAAUGCAGACACUGGUUGAGCUCCUUGGACGGCACCCUUGAGACCUGGGCCUUUCACCAGCUAUUCCUCACCCCUCGACAAUACAUAUGGUAACAUGUGAGGUGAGGCCUUCCUAUGUGCCAGCCUGGGGCUGGAUGCCAGGAACUGAGACAUAUGCUUCUGCAAGUUUCUCACCAGCCUGCGGAGGGACCAAUGAAUGGAUGGACAGAUACACACACACCAUAUGGUAGUAGUGAGACAGUCAUUUUCUAGGCAGGUUGAUGAGAAGUCUAGGGGUC